rnacentral:rRNA from 1 species
AGUGAACGCUGGCGGUAGGCCUAACACAUGCAAGUCGAACGGCAGCACAGUAAGAGCUUGCUCUUACGGGUGGCGAGUGGCGGACGGGUGAGGAAUACAUCGGAAUCUACUUUUUCGUGGGGGAUAACGUAGGGAAACUUACGCUAAUACCGCAUACGACCUACGGGUGAAAGCAGGGGAUCUUCGCACCUUGCGCGACUGAAUGAGCCGAUGUCGGAUUAGCUAGUUGGCUGGGUAAAGGCCCACCAAGGCGACGAUCCGUAGCUGGUCUGAGAGGAUGAUCGGCCACACUGGAACUGAGACACGGUCCAGACUCCUACGGGAGGCAGCAGUGGGGAAUAUUGGACAAUGGGCGCAAGCCUGAUCCAGCCAUACCGCGUGGGUGAAGAAGGCCUUCGGGUUGUAAAGCCCUUUUGUUGGGAAAGAAAAGCAGCAGGUUAAUACCCCGCUGUUCUGACGGUACCCAAAGAAUAAGCACCGGCUAACUUCGUG